rnacentral:rRNA from 1 species
GGAGCUGCUCAGAUAGCAUGAUGUCUAAGUAUAAACUGCUUAUACUGUGAAACUGCGAAUGGCUCAUUAAAUCAGUUAUAGUUUAUUUGAUGGUACCUUUAACUCGAUUAACGGUAGAAAUUCUAGAGCUAUAACGGGGGUAAUCCCCACUUCUGGGAAGGACGUAUUUUAUAAAAUAAAAGCCGACCGGGGUCUGCCGGCCCGCGGGGAAUCAUGGAAACUUACCCAAUCGGUAGCCCUUGCCGGCGAAGUUUCAUUCAAAUUUUUGCCCCAUCACUUUUGAUGGUAGGAAAAAGGCUACCAUGGGGUAACGGGGGCGGGGAUUAGGGUUCGAUUCCGGGAGGGGCCUGAAAAAGGUCCCCUCCAGGGGGGGCGGGCCCAAAUACCCACCCGAACGGGGGGGGGAAAAAAAAAAAACCGGGCUUCGGCUGGAAUGGAUGGUCCACCAAUCCUACCAGGACCUUGAGGCAGCUGGGCACCGCCGGUAUCCGCUCAAAGCGAAUUAGUGUGCAGUAAAAGUCGAGUUGAUUCGGGGUCCGCGUCGCUUGGGAGCCUGCUCGCCUCCUUCUGCGACGCUCUGCUAGUCGGACGAUCGGAGUACUGGAUAAGUCAGAGCUACUGACUAGCUGAUCCGUGGCUGCAUCUGCUGAACGUAGUAGGAUCGCACGAUCAUGCAAGUAUGAUCGACAUUCGACUGCAGACUCAUACGCAGGGG